ensembl:snoRNA
GUUGGUUGAAAAUCACCCGCGGUUCUGACCGUGGCUGCUGGUGAGAUUCGGCGCCCAGAGCCACCUGGGGCCUCAGCUCCCCGCCCACUGCCUCAGUGUGAGCGGGUGAAACCCAGGCUCCGACAUUC